rnacentral:rRNA from 1 species
GAUGAACGCUGGCGGCGUGCCUAAUACAUGCAAGUAGAACGCUGAAGGCAGGAGCUUGCUCUUUCCGGAUGAGUUGCGAACGGGUGAGUAACGCGUAGGUAACCUGCCUGGUAGCGGGGGAUAACUAUUGGAAACGAUAGCUAAUACCGCAUAACAGUAGAUGUUGCAUGAUAUCUACUUAAAAGGUGCAAUUGCACCACUACCAGAUGGACCUGCGUUGUAUUAGCUAGUUGGUGAGUUAACGGAUCACCAAGGCGACGGUACAUAGCCGACCUGAGAGGGUGGACGGCCAACCUGGGAAUGGGACACGGCCCAGAGUCCUGAGGGAGGCAGCAGUAGGGAAUCGUCGGCAAUGGACGGAAGGCUGACCGAGCAACGCCGCGUGAGUGAAGGAGGUUGUCGGAUCGUAAAGCUCUGUUGUAAGAGAAGAACGAGUGUGAGAGUGGAAAGUUCACACUGUGACGGUAUCUUACCAGAAAGGGACGGCUAACUACGUG